rnacentral:snRNA from 1 species
GGAUGUGAGGGCGAUCUGGCUGCGACAUCUGUCACGCCAUUGUUCAGCAGGGUUGAUUCGGCUGAUCUGGCUGGCUGGGGGGGGGGUGUCUCCUUCCUCCCUCACCACUCCACGUGUGUCCCUCCCAAAGCUGCGCGCUCAGUCGAAGAGGACGACCUUCCCCGAAUAGAGGACGACCGGUCUUUGGUCAAGGGCAUACAAGUAGCUGCGCUCCCCUGCUAGAACCUCCAAACAAGCUCUCAAAUAUUUUCUUAGGGCAGCCAGAAAGUUAACUGAUACAAUUGCUCA